CCUGCUAUAGCUGCACACAUUCUCUGUUCUCCUUGUGGCAGAAAAAGUUGAAGUUUGAAAUUGAAGGCACACAGACUGAGCCUUCAAAUAUAGGACAUGAAAGGACAGGAUAAUUCUAAAGAAAUCAGCAAAGCACAUCCUAUAUCACAGCAAUUUGUGAAGCCCAGCCUGAAGAAGAGCAAAGGCAAUUGAAGAGGACCCUGGUUUGAGGGACACACACAGAGAGUGCCCGGUUCUUUCCUUCUGGUGGCAGC